rnacentral:misc_RNA from 1 species
GAUGAAGAACGCAGCGAAAUGCGAUAAGUAAUGUGAAUUGCAGAAUUCAGUGAAUCAUCGAAUCUUUGAACGCACAUUGCGCCCGCCAGUAUUCUGUCGGGCAUGCCUGUUCGAGCGUCAUUUCAACCAUCAAGCCCCCGGCUUGUGUUGGGGACCUGCGGCUGCCGCAGGCCCUGAAAAGCAGUGGCGGGCUCGCUGUCACACCGAGCGUAGUAGCAUACAUCUCGCUCUGGGCGUGCUGCGGGUUCCGGCCGUUAAACCACCUUCAUAACCCAAGGUUGACCUCGGAUCAGGUAGGAAGACCCGCUGAACUUAAGCAUAUCAAUAAGCGGAGGA